CCUACGGGUGGCAGCAGUGAGGAAUAUUGGUCAAUGGACGGAAGUCUGAACCAGCCAUGCCGCGUGCAGGAAGACGGCUCUAUGAGUUGUAAACUGCUUUUGUACAAGGGUAAACCUGAAUACGUGUAUUCAGCUGAAAGUACUGUACGAAUAAGGAUCGGCUAACUCCGUGCCAGCAGCCGCGGUAAUACGGAGGAUCCAAGCGUUAUCCGGAUUUAUUGGGUUUAAAGGGUGCGCAGGCGGAUUUUUAAGUCAGCGGUCAAAUCGUGGGGCUCAACCCCAUCCAGCCGUUGAAACUGGGGAUCUAGAGUGUGCGAGAGGUAUGCGGAAUGCGUGGUGUAGCGGUGAAAUGCAUAGAUAUCACGCAGAACCCCGAUUGCGAAGGCAGCAUACCGGUGCACAACUGACGCUCAGGCACGAAAGCGUGGGUAUCGAACAGGAUUAGAUACCCUUGUAGUC
rnacentral:rRNA from 1 species